rnacentral:rRNA from 1 species
GCCGAUCGCCUUGAGUUGAUCAUGGCUCGAAUCAACGCUGGCGGCGUGCCUAACACAUGCAAGUCGAACGCGAAAGUCCCGCAAGGGAUGAGUAGAGUGGCAAACGGGUGAGUAACGCGUGGGUGACCUGCCUUCGAGCGGGGGAUAACGUUCCGAAAGGGACGCUAAUACCGCAUAACAUCCUGCCUUUUAAGAGGUGGAGAUCAAAGCCGGGGAUCGCAAGACCUGGCACUCGAAGAGGGGCCCGCGUCCGAUUAGCUAGUUGGUGAGGUAACGGCUCACCAAGGCAACGAUCGGUAGCCGGCCUGAGAGGGCGGACGGCCACACUGGGACUGAGACACGGCCCAGACUCCUACGGGAGGCAGCAGUGGGGAAUUGUUCGCAAUGGGCGCAAGCCUGACGACGCAACGCCGCGUGGAGGAUGAAGAUCUUCGGGUCGUAAACUCCUUUCGAUCGAGACGAAUUCCUCCGGGGUGAACAAUCCUGGAGGUUGACGGUACCGAGAGAAGAAGCCCCGGCUAACUCCGUGCCAGCAGCCGCGGUAAUACGGGGGGGGCAAGCGUUGUUCGGAAUUACUGGGCGUAAAGGGCUCGUAGGCGGCCAACUAAGUCAGACGUGAAAUCCCUCGGCUCAACCGGGGAAUUGCGUCUGAUACUGGAUGGCUUGAGUUUGGGAGAGGGAUGCGGAAUUCCAGGUGUAGCGGUGAAAUGCGUAGAUAUCUGGAGGAACACCGGUGGCGA